rnacentral:rRNA from 1 species
GAUGAACGCUGGCGGCGUGCCUAAUACAUGCAAGUCGAGCGAACAGAUGAGGAGCUUGCUCCUCUGACGUUAGCGGCGGACGGGUGAGUAACACGUGGAUAACCUACCUAUCAGACUGGGAUAACUUCGGGAAACCGGAGCUAAUACCGGAUAAUAUAUUGCACCGCAUGGUUCAAUAGUGAAAGACGGUUUUGCUGUCACUUAUAGAUGGAUCCGCGCCGCAUUAGCUAGUUGGUAAGGUAACGGCGUACCAAGGCAACGAUGCGUAGCCGACCUGAGAGGGUGAUCGGCCACACUGGAACUGAGACACGGUCCAGACUCCUACGGGAGGCAGCAGUAGGGAAUCUUCCGCAAUGGGCGAAAGCCUGACGGAGCAACGCCGCGUGAGUGAUGAAGGUCUUCGGAUCGUAAAACUCUGUUAUUAGGGAAGAACAAAUGUGUAAGUAACUAUGCACGUCUUGACGGUACCGAAUCAGAAAGCCACGGCUAACUACGUG